UUGGUUCGCAUAUAAACAGAGCAAUGAAAGACAGAAAAAUAGGGGACUCCACUAAAAGAAAGAAAGAAAGUCUGAUGGGGGGUUGGCCACGUUGCAUAGACUUUGUGUUUUGUGUUUGUGUGUGCAAACAAUCAAAACAAAAGAUGGGUUUUGGUGUUGGUAAAUACACAAAACAAAAGAUGAGUUUGCCUUAAGUACGGGACAGAGUCGGGUGCAAUUGUUCUCCAAUUUUAUAAGGGCUACACUUCCUUCGCAUGUCCAAUUCCUUUGCGUCUCUAAUUCCUGAAGUCCCAAUUGGAGUAUGAUUGAUCCACCUAAAGGAUGAGCUUCGCGCUAGUGGUUUUUUUUUUUUUUUUUUUUUGUCACGAAGACUACAAUUGUGAAUCAAUUUCUGUUCAUGGGUCAGUCAAAAUAUCAAGGCCCCGAAAGCAGAAUAGUGUGUUGUCUACCUAUUAAUUCUCCAAAGCCCAAAAUUCUCAGAAGGCCAAAAUAUUUAACGGGUGAUCCAAACAAUUGCCCAUUAAAUAUACAAGGCUCGAAACAAAUUAAUGGGCUGUAAAAAAUAUUUACCCAUUAGUUCUCAAAAGCCCAAAAUAUUUAAUGGAUGAUACAAAUAAUUACCCAUUAAAUUUACAAAGGC
rnacentral:lncRNA from 1 species